AUUCAACAGUUCUUGCUACUGAUUGGAUCAAACUUUUUUUGAUUUUCUUUUCUUUCUCAUUAAUUUUUUUUCCUCCACCGCCUCUACCUACUCUAUCUUCCACCGACAAAGGACUAGAUACGUGCUCUCUUCUCAGACAACCCACUGACAUUUCUCUUCGUCCUUCACACCGCCUAAUAUACCCAAUUCAGUUCGGUGACAUCGGAGAUCACCUUCAACCGCCACAAUCUACGCCUCCUGGGGUUCUUCGUCAUGUGUUUUUGAAUCCACCGUCUCAUCAUCGUCGUCCUCUUUCUGACCAUCAUCUACGACUUUUUCAUCUGCUACGUCGUUGAUGUUUACGCUACGAAGAAUUUGAACAUAGUUUUUGGAUCACAAAAGGCUCCUCUGAGCACCAUCUGUUCAAUAAAAUGCCCAAGUGAAACCACCGCCGACCAAUCUUCUAAUCUGCUAAAGGGUUUUCUAGCAAAGUUGUUCCAUGAGUGAGGGGAUUUGUGGAAGUGAAAGAGUAUGGUGUUCCAGAUACAGUGAAAUCAAUGUCUUGAUGUGGGGAAAACAUAUGUGUGGGAGGAAGAGAAUACAUGGGCUAUUAUGUGUUUAAUGUUUGCAGUUGAAGUUCAUGUUGCUAAGCCUAUUGUUGUUCAACUUCAACCAAAGCCUAAUCCAGUAAAAUAAACUUUAUUUGCAGGAAGCUUAACAAAUGCUGCAGAAAAGGAGCAUGUCACCCACACUAGCAAGGUUGGUCACCUUAAUGACAGUCAGGAUGCUGGACUUCAUGCAAGAAAUAUAAGUACUGUAUCAACAGUGGAUAGUGAAAUGAUUGAUGAAGAUGGGAACCCAAUCUUGAAAGUUGGAAGGAUAAAAAGAACAAGAAGAAAAAGAGUGUUGCUAAAGAAGUUCAAAUUCAUGUAGACCAACAGAUGGGUGAAAAGCAGGGGUCAACAGAGGCGAAUGCAAUGCAACCACUUUCACAAAUAGUUCCAAUUCCAAAGAACGAAAUCACACCUUAUAGAGUUGUGAUUAUAGUGGACUUUUCUUAUACUUCUUCUUGGCACACCGAUUGAAGAAAGGGUAAUAUGUUUUUAGUUUUUUAUGUAGUUGUAUUUGUAGGAGUGAAACAAAUUUAAUUUGGAUAGAAAAUGAAGAACCUAAUGAAAACCAAAAGCACAUACAUUCAAUUAGGUUCUUCUUUUUAUGUAUUCUGGAAAACCAAAGUUGCAUUUAAUUCUUGAUUAGGCUUCAGUCGCAAAAUGAUUCAUGGGGUUAUCCAGGAUGUGGUUGUGAAUGGCGCAAGUGUAAUUUCGGCUUCAGUUUAAAAUAUAGUAGACAACAAACAUUAACGUGUCUAUAAAGUCACAGCAAAAAUCAAGAAGAAGAAACAAUGAAGUAGAGUUUAUGAAGGCUGAUAGCACUGUAAUUCUGCAUACAUAAUUGGAUGCUCCAAGUUUCAUAUCUGUGAUGCAACUUUAUUCGGAGAUUGUAGGAUUGCAGUUUACCUUCCACUAAAUAAAUGACUGAAAAAUAUAUCCUUACCUACUCUUAGUGAUGGUUUCAUCCAAAUCUAACCCCCGUUACGCGGGGGCUCUUUUCUAGUUAUUCUUUAAAUUUCUUGAUAAUACU